rnacentral:rRNA from 1 species
AAUAGUACGUGAAACCGCUUAGAGGUUAAGCCCGAUGAACCUGAAUAUCCGUUUUUAUGGGAAAAGUCAUUCACUAUGCCAGUAAUAUAUUUGUUAAUAUUACUAGUAAUGGUGUGCAUUUUUUCCCAUUAUAGGACAUUGUAAUCUAUUGACAUACUGAUAUUAUUUAUCAAAAGAUCAUAUUAACGCAAGUUUAUUCAGAUUAAAUUUGCUUUGGCAAAUUAAGAUGGAUAAAGGCUUAUGAUUUGAUAAAGUGUUGAUAGAUUGAAUUCGUAUAUAGCGCUAAAAUAAUAAUUUAUUUUAUUAUUUUGGGUGGAUUCUAAAAGUAUCGAUUAUUUUGGAUCCACUUAUGCGUUUAUAUGAUUUUCAAUGCGAAAGAUUCAGGAUACCUUCGGGACCCGUCU